rnacentral:lncRNA from 10 species
UUUGUAGAGAUAGGGUUUCACCAUGUUGCCCAGGCUCACUUCGAACUCCUGGGCUCAAGCAAUCCAUCUGCCUCAGCCUCCCAAAGGGGUGGAAUUACAGGUGUGAGCCACUGGGCCUGACUCGUUUUCUUACCAUAACAUGGUUGGGAAAUCUUAUCUAAAGAUAUGUUUCUCAACAUAUCUAAAGAUGUAUUUCAUUGCUCCUUCUCUUCUCCUUCACCACUGUCAUCUCCAAUAGCCCCAUUCUCACCACUCUUUGGCUUACUAGUCUUUUUUUCAAUAGCAUAAGAUUUACCAUUUUAAUCAAUUUAAGUGUACAGUUCAAUGACAUUAAGUACAUUCACAUUGUUGUGUUAUCGUCACCACCAUCGAUCCCCAGAACUUUUUUUUUUAUCUUUCCAGACUAAAACUCUGCACUCAUUAAGCAGAAAUUCCCAUGGCCCCUUCCCCUUCUCAUCCCUGGAAACCAGCAGUCUUCUUUCUGUCUGUCUCUGGGAAUUUGACUACUCUAGAUACUUCAUAAAAGUAAAAUCAUACAGUAUUUAUCCUUUGUGAUUGGCUUAUUUCAUUAGCAUAAUAUCCUCAAGUUUCAUCCAUGGUGUAGCACAGGUCAGAAUUUUUAUCCUUUUUAAGGCUAAUAUUCCAUUGCGUGCAUAGUACACAUUUGUUUCUCCAUUCAUCUACACAUGGACACUUGGGGUGCUUCCAUCUUUUGGCUGUUAUGAACAGUGCUCCUGCAAAUAUAGGAGUACAAAUGUCUCUUGGACUCUCU